rnacentral:rRNA from 1 species
CCCCCAAAAACCAAAAGUGUGACGGGGUUACCCAAAGUGUCCUAUAAAGGACUGUGGUAGGUGAGUAAUGUUCCCUUUUAUAAAGGAGAGGGCAAGGGUGGUGCCAGCCGCCGCGGUAAAACCAGCUCUUCAAGUGGUCGGGAUAAUUAUUGGGCUUAAAGUGUCCGUAGCCGGUUUAGUAAGUUCCUGGUAAAAUCGGGUAGCUUAACUAUCCGUAUGCUAGGAAUACUGCUAUACUAGAGGGCGGGAGAGGUCUGAGGUACUACAGGGGUAGGGGUGAAAUCUUAUAAUCCUUGUAGGACCACCAGUGGCGAAGGCGUCAGACUGGAACGCGCCUGACGGUGAGGGACGAAAGCCAGGGGAGCGAACCGGAUUAGAUACCCGGGUAGUCCUGGCCGUAAACGAUGCAUACUAGGUGACGGCACGGCCAUGAGCCGUGUCGGUGCCGUAGGGAAACCGUUAAGUGUGCCGCCUGGGAAGUACGGUCGCAAGGCUAAAACUUAAAGGAAUUGGCGGGGGA